rnacentral:misc_RNA from 1 species
AAUCCUCAAAAGAGAAAACUUUAAUGGUUCCUCUCUUUUUGGAAUUGGGGCGUGCUGGCCUUUUCUUGGAAAGCCCAGCUCCCCUGAAAUACAUUAGCGAUGUGACAUCCUCGUGCUCCACGCUUCUCUGGCAUUGAUAGUCUUUUCAUGCUUGAGGCGUGUUUUUGCAGCUGUGGAAAGUUUCGCUCGCUCACAACUGAUGGGUUGUUGCCCAUCCUCUGACCA